CCGGCACGGGUGAGUAACACGUAUGCAAUCCACCUGUAACAGGGGGAUAACCCGGAGAAAUUCGGACUAAUACCCCAUAAUAUGGGCGCUCCGCAUGGAGAGCCCAUUAAAGAGAGCAAUUUUGGUUACAGACGAGCAUGCGCUCCAUUAGCCAGUUGGCGGGGUAACGGCCCACCAAAGCGACGAUGGAUAGGGGUUCUGAGAGGAAGGUCCCCCACAUUGGAACUGAGACACGGUCCAA
rnacentral:rRNA from 1 species